AACGAACGCUGGCGGCAUGCCUAACACAUGCAAGUCGAACGAGACCUUCGGGUCUAGUGGCGCACGGGUGCGUACCGCGUGGGAACCUGCCCUUAGGUUCGGAAUAACUCCCCGAAAGGUGUGCUAAUACCGGAUAAUGUCUUCGGACCAAAGAUUUCUCGCCUUUGGGUGGGCCCGUGUUGGUUUCGCUAGUUGGUAGGGUAAAAGCCUACCAAGGCGACGUUCCAUAGCUGGUCUGAGAGGAUGAUCAGCCACACUGGGACUGAGACACGGCCCAGACUCCUACGGGAGGCAGCAGUGGGGAAUAUUGGACAAUGGGCGAAAGCCUGAUCCAGCAAUGCCGCGUGAGUGAUGAAGGCCUUAGGGUUGUAAAGCUCUUUUACCCGGGAUGAUAAUGACAGUAACGGGAGAAUAAGCUCCGGCUAACUCCGUG
rnacentral:rRNA from 1 species